UACAGAGGUCUCAAGCGUUGUUCGGAUUCAUUGGGCGUAAAGGGCGCGUAGGCGGCGGGGUAAGUCGGGUGUGAAAUCUCAGAGCUCAACUCUGAAACUGCACUCGAUACUGCUCUGCUUGAGGACUGGAGAGGAGACUGGAAUUCACGGUGUAGCAGUGAAAUGCGUAGAUAUCGUGAGGAAGACCAGUGGCGAAGGCGGGUCUCUGGACAGUUCCUGACGCUGAGGCGCGAAGGCCAGGGGAGCCAAAGCGGG
rnacentral:rRNA from 1 species